rnacentral:lncRNA from 1 species
GGUAGGGACAGAAUUCAUAUAAAUGGAUGUAAUUAAUUCUUUGUAAAGAAGUAAAUGUCAGAAUAGUUAACUCAGUAUCAGAAAUAAUGAUUACAGUAAUGACUUUUUUACAUUCCUAAAUUUUUUAUUAAUUAUUUGCGGGGAAUAUGCAUAUGCCAUGGAACAGUUCCAGAAGUCAUAAGACAGUUUGUAGGAUGUGAUUCUUUACACUCAUCACACUUAGUUAUAGAUAUCAUUACCUAAUGAGACAUCCUGCUCCCUACACGACCAUUCUCUCUCUCUCUCUCUCUCUCUCUCUCUCUCUCUCUCUCUCUCUCUCUCUCUCUCUUUCUCUCUUUCUGCCUUUCUUUCUUUCUUUCUUUCUUUCUUUCUUUCUUUCUCUUUCUUUCUUUCUUCCUGUCUGUCUUUCUUUCUUUCUUUCUUUCUUUCUUUCUUUCUUUCUUUCUUUCUUUCUUUCUGCCUUUCUGCCUUUCUGCCUUUCUGCCUUUCUUUCUUUUCCCUGUCUUUCUUUCUUUCAUUCACUCAUUUAUUUAUUUAUUUAUUUAUUUAUUUAUUUAUUUAUUUUGCUAUAGACAGUUUAAAACUCAGGGGAUUGGAGAGAUAGCUCAAACUUUAAGAGCCCUUGGUGCUCUUGUAGAGGAUGCAAGUUUGGUUCCCAGAACAUUUAUCAGGCUCAUUUAUCUGCUUACUGUUGUUACUGUCAUUCUGACUCCAGGGAAAACAGGGCCACUCACACAGACAUGCAUACCCAUAAAUAAAAAUAAAUCUAUUUUUAAAAUCUGCAUAUAAAGAGAAUUCAAAAGAAGACGACCCAUUGCAUUGAUUAAAAAUUUUAUUUUCCUAUUAUGGUUGCCCAUAUUAGACAACAGUAUACAUGUGCUGUGUUAAAAAAAAUAAGAAAAAUAAUAUAGUUUCCCUUGAGAAAAUAAUAGUUUCAGUAAAUUUGCAAUAAAAGAAACUGACUCUGUUAGCAAGAAACCAAGAGUGGUAUAUUUUAGAUGAAUGAGUUUUGACUUUUCAGGGUGACAUCAGAAUUUAUCAGAAUUUGGAUUCUGUCAUUAAACAUGAACUCAAGUGCUCACUGUUUCUGUAGACCCACUGCUUCUGUUGGCCAUGUUGGUGCUGGUCACAAGCUUUGCUGCCCUCAGAGUUGUCAGUCAUUUCCUCUUCGUCACGGAACUUUAGACUCAGUGGUUAAUCAACACACAGGACUAUAAAAAGAAGAAAUGACUCGAGCUAUGCAAGCUCUGUUUUUUAUUUUGACAAUAUAAAAUCAUGAGUUAUAAAUAGAUAUAAAAACAAUCCUUGAGAUGUAUGUCAGGAAAUUCAUAAACAAGAAACCUCAUUUAGGUACCUAAAUAGUUACAAUAAAAAAUAAUUUGUUUUCAGAAAUAAUGUUGGAUAGAAAGUUGUAGGUAGAUGCUUACAUAUUCUGCUCCUGGGAAUUUAGUGUUGUAAAUGAAAUACUGUGAUUUAUUGUGGCAUGCCUGACAACCUGAGCUCAAUCCCAAAUCCACAUAUAGGUAGGUAGAGGGAAAGUGACACCACAGAGUUGUCCUCUGACCUCCAUUUGUGCACUGUGGCACAUUUGACUCUCUAAUCCAAUUACCAGUAAUAAUAAAUAAAACAAUAUUUUAAAGCUGAUUAAGUGAAUUAUAGACAGAUUUCUGACUUGCUUCUUGUCAUAGGUCAUUAGACUUUUUGACUAGUGUUACUUUAAUCUCUAAAAUUAUAAACUAUUAUUAUUGGUUAUAAUUA